rnacentral:rRNA from 1 species
AUUGAACGCUGGCGGAAUGCUUUACACAUGCAAGUCGAACGGCAGCACGGACUUCGGUCUGGUGGCGAGUGGCGAACGGGUGAGUAAUGUAUCGGAACGUGCCCAGUCGUGGGGGAUAACGUAGUGAAAAUUACGCUAAUACCGCAUACGAUCUAUGGAUGAAAGCGGGGGAUCGCAAGACCUCGCGCGAUUGGAGCGGCCGAAAUCGGAUUAGGUAGUUGGUGGGGUAAAGGCCCACCAAGCCAACGAUCUGUAGCUGGUCUGAGAGGACGACCAGCCACACUGGAACUGAGACACGGUCCAGACUCCUACGGGAGGCAGCAGUGGGGAAUUUUGGACAAUGGGCGAAAGCCUGAUCCAGCCAUUCCGCGUGCAGGAUGAAGGCCCUCGGGUUGUAAACUGCUUUUGUACAGAACGAAAAGGUUUCUACUAAUACUAGGAGCUCAUGACGGUACUGUAAGAAUAAGCACCGGCUAACUACGUGCCAGCAGCCGCCGCGG